UACGUAGGGGGCUAGCGUUGUCCGGAAUCAUUGGGCGUAAAGCGCGUGUAGGCGGCCCGAUAAGUCCGCUGUGAAAGUCCAGGGCUCAACCCUGGGAUGCCGGUGGAUACUGUCGGGCUCGAGUCCGGAAGAGGCGAGUGGAAUUGCUGGUGUAGCGGUGAAAUGCGUAGAGAUCAGCAGGAACACCCGUGGCGAAGGCGGCCCCCUGGGCCGAACCUGACGCUGAGGCGCGAAGGCUAGGGAGCGAACGGG
rnacentral:rRNA from 1 species